GUUACAAUGUACACUUUUUAGGCAUUCACUAAGUCUCACCAGCCUGACCAACCUGGUGAAACCCCUCUUUACCAAAAAUACAAAAAAAAAUUAGCCAGGCAUAGUGGUGCACGCCUAUAGUCCCAGCUACUCGGGAGGCUGAGGCGGGAGAAUCGCCUGAACCCAGGAGGCAGAGGUUGCAGUGAGCCGAGAUCGUGCCACUGCACUCCAGCCUGGGCAACAGAGCGAGACUCUGUCUCAGAAAGAAUAAAAAAAAGAAGUGGCUCACUUGAUCAGGACCACACAGUUGGCACAAGGGAGAGUCCAGUUUGGAGCUCAGCUCUCUGUAGUUGAUGUCCAGGAUUUUCACAUGUAGCAAAAUUGCC
rnacentral:lncRNA from 1 species